GAUGAACGCUGGCGGCGUGCCUAAUACAUGCAAGUCGAGCGAACAGACGAGGAGCUUGCUCCUCUGACGUUAGCGGCGGACGGGUGAGUAACACGUGGAUAACCUACCUAUAAGACUGGGAUAACUUCGGGAAACUGGAGCUAAUACCGGAUAACAUGUUGAACCGCAUGGUUCAACAGUGAAAGACGGUCUUGCUGUCACUUAUAGAUGGAUCCGCGCCGCAUUAGCUAGUUGGUAAGGUAACGGCUUACCAAGGCAACGAUGCGUAGCCGACCUGAGAGGGUGAUCGGCCACACUGGAACUGAGACACGGUCCAGACUCCUACGGGAGGCAGCAGUAGGGAAUCUUCCGCAAUGGGCGAAAUCCUGACGGAGCAACGCCGCGUGAGUGAAGAAGGUCUUCGGAUCGUAAAACUCUGUUAUUAGGGAAGAACAAAUGUGUAAGUAACUAUGCACGUCUUGACGGUACCUAAUCAGAAAGCCACGGCUAACUACGUG
rnacentral:rRNA from 1 species